GAUGAACGCUAGCGGCAGGCUUAAUACAUGCAAGUCGUGGGGCAGCAGGUUUGUAGCAAUACAGAUGCUGGCGACCGGCAAACGGGUGCGGAACACGUACAGAACCUUCCUUUGAGCGGGGAAUAGCCCAGAGAAAUUUGGAUUAAUACCCCAUAGUAUAAUGAAGUGGCAUCACUUUAUUAUUAAAGAUUUAUCACUCGAAGAUGGCUGUGCGGCUGAUUAGGUAGUUGGCGGGGUAAAGGCCCACCAAGCCUGCGAUCAGUAACUGGUGUGAGAGCACGACCAGUCACACGGGCACUGAGACACGGGCCCGACUCCUACGGGAGGCAGCAGUAAGGAAUAUUGGUCAAUGGAGGCAACUCUGAACCAGCCAUGCCGCGUGGAGGAUGAAGGUCCUCUGGAUUGUAAACCUCUUUUAUAUGGGACGAAAAAAGGCUUUUCUAAGUCGUCUGACGGUACCAUAUGAAUAAGCACCGGCUAACUCCGUGCCAGCAGCCGCGGUAAU
rnacentral:rRNA from 1 species